rnacentral:rRNA from 1 species
UACGGAGGGUGCGAGCGUUGUCCGGAAUCACUGGGCUUAAAGGGCGCGUAGGUGGCGCGGGAAGUCAACGGUGAAAGUUCGGGGCUCAACCCUGAAUCGGCCGUCGAUACUCCCGGGCUCGAGCACUGUAGAGGCAGAUGGAAUUCCGGGUGUAGCGGUGGAAUGCGUAGAGAUCCGGAAGAACACCGGUGGCGAAGGCGGUCUGCUGGGCAGUUGCUGACACUGAUGCGCGACAGCGUGGGGAGCAAACAGG